rnacentral:rRNA from 1 species
UACGUAGGGUGCGAGCGUUGUCCGGAAUUAUUGGGCGUAAAGGGCUCGUAGGCGGUUUGUCGCGUCGGGAGUGAAAACCCAUGGGCUUAACUCAUGGCUUGCUUCCGAUACGGGCAGACUAGAGGCAUGCAGGGGAGAACGGAAUUCCUGGUGUAGCGGUGGAAUGCGCAGAUAUCAGGAGGAACACCAAUGGCGAAGGCAGAUCUCUGGGCCGUAACUGACGCUGAGGAGCGAAAGCAUGGGGAGCGAACAGG